UCUCCCCGCACCGCGUCGAUCCAAUCCUCUCCAGAAAACCUAGCGCGUCAGGGGCGAAUCCUCGAGCCCCACGUCCUCUUCUUCCCUUCCGCGCCGUCCUGCCUCCCCUCCCGCACCGCCGCCUUCUCUCCACGCCUCAUCGUCGACCACCCUGGCAUGUUCUUCUGGGCCUCUUCCCCGGCGCUCAAGGUGCAGCACGGCGCCGCUCCUCCGCACGGGCAUGGCCACAUCUGCCUGUGCUCGGCGGAAGGAGUGGCUGCGGUGAUGGCAGAUGUGUGAGGAGGAGGAUGUCGUGGUCAUGGCGGCGUGCAACACCAGGCUGCGGCGCUAUUCGUCGCGGCCGAGGUGAGUGGCUGUGGUGUUGGCAGAUGCAUGAGGAGGAGGAGGAGGAGGAGGCCGUGGCCAUGGCGGCGCGCGAUGGAGGUCGUACCCGGCCAGCGCGCGGCACUAGGCUGCAAGGGAGAAAGAGAGAAGAAAUAGGGGAGGGAGGCCCGACAACGGACGGGAGAGGGUUGCCGACUUGCCGGUCGGCGUCGGCCUGUGCCGGCGAGGUCGCUCGCCUGGCAGCCAAGGAGGGAAAGGCGACGGGACCGGCAUCCAGGGCGGCGGCGGCGGCUGGACUCCAGAAGCUGGCCGAGGUGGUACUCGCCAAAGAAGCAGGCGGCAGCGCAUGCUGGUGGCGCACGGGUCGGGUCAAGGCUGGUGGCGCACGGGGUGGGUCUGGACCGAAGGCCGGGGCCUGCGGGGGAGAGUGGUAGGGGUUGGUGCAGCGGCAAAUACGGGAUGGAUGGGCCGUGAUGGGAGGCUCGCCAGCCGAAGCAGCAGGAGCAAGAAGGCGGGGUCGGAAGUGGAGGGAGGCUCGCUGGCCGGUGCAGCAGGAGCAACUGCAGCUGCUGUUGGUCGGCCUGACGCACUGCCGCAAGUCCUCAACCAUACCACCGCUGUUGUGGCCCGCACGCUCGACAGGAGCAGCUGCGCCGUCACUGGCGGCGAGUUCAACGGCCGCCGCCUCCUUUUCUCUUCAAAUCCAGUAAGCCCUCCCCUGGGUGCAUCAGGGGCUGUGGUUCCCUCAAGUACGGUGAAGCACCAGGUCGACCUGAGCUCCUCCUUCAACCUGUGUGUGUGAUUUGUUUUUUUAUGCACACAUCUGAAGCUUUUUCCCCCUCGUCUAGAUUUCUUCUAAAGUAUGCUGAUUGUUAUUCCUUAUAAGGGAGUACAAUAUCCGUUUGAAGACUCAUUAGGCCCAGAAUAUUUGCUGGUAAGAUACCAUAUUUCUAUGAUUCAUCCAUCUCUCUAAUUCUGGCCUUACAGAUCAACCUAUCCCCCUGCACCAUUCUAAAUCUGGUGCUGCUACAGUUUUUUCCUUGCAUGGAUAUAUGUAUGAGGUUUCUUUGUUUAGGUAUAUAUUUCUGCCUCAAAAAAGUUUACAUCUAUUUUCUUGUUAGAUGAUUCUGCUUCUAUUUGCUGGCUGUACUCAGGUUGCAGGAAUGAGAAUACUUAUGAGAUCACAUGAAUGAGAUUUACACGUCCUCUAAAAGUUUCUCAAGUAUGCUCCAAAAUUGUAUCAUUGAUCCCACACAAUGGUUAGAAUCCCCGUAGACAAGACCAUAUUUCACAUUUUGUGUAGUCCAACCAAUAAUACAGAUGGAACCUGAUGAUGAUUUUCAAUACAUUGUGAUAGUAGUUUCCUGCAUCGAUUAGCUAAUGAGCCAUCCUUUCGUUUUCAACUCGAUGUGGUGCAAUAGUUAAAUAGAUGUGUUCGUGCCAUUUAGCCCCGACAACAUUCAGUUCAGUUCAACUGUACAUCUUUUGCCGGCCCCUUUUCUUGGUACUGAUUGAGCUUUGUGUGUUAGUAUUUUAAUUUGACUGCAUUUUUCCUUUAGUCCUUCCUCUUAGUGUAUAAUGAUCCUGAUUGUGCGAGUUUCUUUCCUGGCAGGGUAGUUAUGAUUCAGACCAUUCCUUAACAAAAUGCUUAUAUGGCCUGACGGUAUGAGUUCAGCUUCAGACUGUCAAGUUCGCAUCAAAUUUAUUGUUCCAUUUUGGAACAGUGUACUUUCAUGAGUAUUUUUCUAUUGAGUAUACUUUCACAAAUAAUCUUACAAAGUGGAAGUAUCAAGGAAUUAAUACAUAGAAGUUACGACCAUUGUUUCGAGUGAUCUCUGAAGAUGGAUUGCAGAAAUUUCACUAGAAGCAUCAAUGUUUGCUGGUGCUGACCUUUUCAGAGACUGCAGCCAUGUGUUUGUCCAGUACAUUAUUUAGACAUAUGCGGUGCUGCCUCCAACCCAUAUAUGGAGAAGGUUCCGUAAACUGUGUAUUUGAAUAUGGCUGAUUUGGAAAGGAGGAGGUCACUGGUUCAUCUGCAAAUGUGUGGACCUCCCUCCCUUUCGCUCGAUUGCUCCACCUUGCUCCUUUGGCUGAUUAACAGCUAUUUCCGCAGCCCAUGACGCUGGUUGAGGUUAGUCUUUCAGCAUCUGUUUUCUUCAUUACAUGUCUUUUAAAUUGCAGGAUAGGCCCUUACAAACAAUAUAUUUGCCUGAUGGGUUUCCCUAUUAUGGCUCAUGGUCAUAGAUGUAGUUUGCCUUUGCUGUUGUUGUUUCUCAAUAUUUCUAUCCCACUAUACUAUAUGUGUUUUGAAUGUACCUGUAUACGAAAGAUGAUUAUCUCCAUUAUUAUUGUUCGUACUACCAUUUUUACCCAAGAUUCAAAACACCUAAUGUGUGCCCUUUUUUCAAGUAUCUUUAAUGCAGUCUAUUGGUUCUUAACUUACUACCAACUACUAGCGGAGAUAGCUUUCUGAAAUAAGCAUGCUAAGCGUGAACGUUGUUCUACUUACGGGAAGAACCCUCAGGUCCUUGUGGGAGCUGCAUACAAACCUGUGUGGAUGUAUUUGGUUGGUAGCUGCAACAGCCUGCCAAUCCGAUAAGAGAAGCUAGCCAAGGGGCCAUCAGCAAUAGUGUAGCUUCAGCAUCCUGUCAAUCGGAGGAGAGGCCAAAGGAGUCAUCGGCAAGAAGCAACCUUAUCCUAGAACUUGAAGUGGAGUAAUGGUUAACAAUGUUUGAUGGAUCAUAUGUUUUCUUUUGUUCACACUUGAGAGCUACAAGCAUUAAGAUGUUAUGAUAAAUUAUAUAGCAAAGUUUGCUUUGUCCGUGGUCA